UUAAUUGAAACCAAAAUAGAGGUAUAUUAAUGUUAAUAAUAAAAUUGAAAUAUUAAAAUUUCCAAUUAAA
rnacentral:tRNA from 1 species